CUCUGAUCUAAGAUCGCCUUAUGCUGUUCUCUCAUGCAUACGCUCGUUUGUCUCGCGCAAACGUGUACCAGCGACAGAAUAAAUCAAGCCAGGCUCUUGCCAGACUACGAGUGAGAUAACCAAAUAAGUUCGUGAGCUUUAUCGCGAAUCCCGGACAAAUCGUUGAAAUUUGGCACGACCGGAGGCAGCGGCCGCGAUCGUGAGUGGAUACGAGAAGCUAAAUGGAGCGGUAAAAGUGACCAGCGUCGGCCGAUAGCGUGCGUCCGCGCGUAAGCACGUAAUGGCUUCGAGAAUGGAACGAGGAGAAGGAAGAGGAACGGGUCGUUAAUAGCAAGACUGAGUGUAGGCCGCACGCAACGGCGAACAGGUCGUUCUCUGGAUACCGCAAAUUGCUUUGUUAUAUCUAUGUACGUAUGUAUGUAUGUAUACAUAUAUGUCUGUUCAUAAGUAUUAAGACGUUUAUAAAAGGUUAAAUUGUGUAAUAAAAUGAACGAUUACUAGGGAAUUAUUAAAGUCUUUAACAAAUCUCAUUUGAAAUCCUACGCUUUAAAGAACUCAUGCACUCAAUAUUAUAAUAACACCAGUUACGUACAAUUCGAUUAAAUUCCUUUUUUACCUAUCUUUGUCGUGUCUUUCUUUAAGGGUUUCAGCCAAUCUCGGCAUUCGUGUCUAUCGAGAUAUGUAUAAUUUUAUGUGCUAGACUAGAUUGACCGUGUAGUAGUGAUUCAUGUAUGUGAAUACGAGUGUAUGGAAGUAUGCGUGUGCGCGGCGCCUCGAAAACAAAGGAAUGCAAACUGUUCAGUUAACAGUGUGGUAUGGAAGAAGGUGAGACGCGUGCAAGUGAGUAUCGAUGAAUAUCUUUGAAAUCGUUUAUCAAAUAAAUGUAUAACUAUUGUAAUAUAAAUUCUAAGUGUAAAUUUAGUGCUCCUAUACCAUUAUUUCGGCAAUUAAGAUCCAAAAUUCUCAACAGUAUCACUGGUCUUCUUACCGUAUUUGUCGCUUUUUGAUCCGACGAAUUCCGUAAAUGAUUUUACAUAUUUGGUUUCCUGAUAGACUAGAUCAAUUAUUGCGUUCUUUACGAGACCAGUUGAUGUCCUGUUGUGUAUUUACGAACGGGAAUUUAUACGUGUGAUACCGCAAUGAAAACCAUAACUUGGUUAAAUGUACUGAUAUUCAACAUCGAAUAACGAAUGAAAUAAUACUCGAGUUUUAUCUGGCUGUGACAAAUUGACCCCUGACCAGGGAUGGUAAUACGAGCCUCGUUAACGGACGAAAAAAGACGAAUAUUCCAUGGAAAUGCUUGAAUAUAUGCAUGAAGGAUCAUAGGGAGGACGACGAGACGAAGAUUUUUUCCCUGAUAAUCGAGAAACGCUCGAGGAAAUAGUAUAAACGCAGCCGGCCAAGACGAAAAGGAAGGGAGAAAAAGGGAACGAGUGGAAACGGUUGGUUGGUGGAGAAAGAGAAGAAAGGGAAGACCAGGCAACAAAGGCCGCGGAAUGGCUAGGAAAGUGUAUGUAGACGGCAGGGCGGAAAGAAGAAUGGUGCACGAAAACGACGGCAGGAUGAAUGUCCUUGUGGUCGAGCUGCGAUGGUACAGUCAUUAGAAUGUAUUGUGGCUCAACGGUUUGACACGCUCCCUUUUGCGACGCGCCGCUCCACAUACCUCCGGUUCUCGUUCUCCAGAAAGUUUAUCUCCGCCAAGGCCUUUUCACUUUUACGUAUUGGCAGAUGCACAGAAUUGCGCUCCUCCUGCAUAUAAACCGGUCAUUCUAAUAUACUAAAUAAUAGGUAGUAGAGCGCUAUACUUUUUUUGAUCUUUUGUGGACCGUGGUUCGGUCAGCUCUGCUGUAGAGUGGUGAGAAUGCGUAGAUAGUAAAGGCACUCGUGGAUAGCAGAGACAGACUAUCAGACUAUUUUCUAAAUUUGAUAGCUAUUAUAAGUUAUUAUAAUCUUGGGUUAUAAUAUAGCGGAAUCGUAGAAUUAAUGGAGGGUAAAAUUAGUUGCUUAACAAUG